UGCGGCACCGCGAGGGGGAGCCGGGGCGCGGCGCGAGGUUCCGGCCGGGGUGGGCUGCGCGGGGUGCCCGUGGUGGGCAGCCCAGCCUUUCCCGUAGGGUUUGCGGCGUCCCUAGGCUCCCUGCCUCCCGGGCAGGGUCCCGGGCCCGCGGCCUCGAUCUCCUCCUUUUCGGGAGUAAACAUUAUUACCAUCCCAAGUUCACGGCUUGGAAAAGGAGGCUCAAAGAGUUGACCAGCCACCAGCCACAAAGCCUGUAAGUGAAGACAUCUAGCUUCCUUCUACGAAGAGAAAGCCCAGGGCUUGGCUCGACCUUCUCACCACCGCUACCCCCAGCUUCCACUCCCUGGGCUCUUCACGACCAGCUGGAGCCUUCCAGAACCUCUCCAGAGAACAGCUCUGCUCCAGGCUGCUCUGCCGUGGGACGGACCCUCUGCAGGCGGACCCCGUCCUUUGAGCUGUGCGGAGAGGGACCAGAGGAGCGACAGCCCGUGGACCGGGGGCAGUUAGGCCAGGACUCAGGGCCUCUGUGGACACGCAGCCUCCAGCGGGGCACUCAGCAGUGAGCUGUGACCUCCACUGGAUUUAGAAGGAAGUGGGCCUCCCGAGCCAGUCCCGGGGACCACGCUACAUACCGAACACGAAGUUGUCGGGCCUGAAGAUCUGGCCGAAGGGUCCAGACCUGACGGAGUCCAUGGUGCCCGGCUCCAGAUCCACCAGGAUGGCCCGAGGCACGUAUUUGUUACCUGUGGGGACAGAGCAGGACUCAGAGCUGCGGUAGGCAAAGGAAUCACAGACAGCGCCCUGCUCUCUGGGCCUCUUAUGGCAGAAUUCAGCAGGGAAAAUUCCAGCAUGAGACAAAAGUAGGAGAUUAGAGGCGGCUUCUGCUCUACAAAGGGAGAUAAUGCCCUGCCUCGUCAUGACAAACAUGCAGGAGACUUCAGGAGCUCUGAAGUGUGUUUUUGAGCAGUUAAAAAUGCAUGCAGGAAGCCUUUCUUUGUCAUUUGCAUGUUCCUAAUACGUUGCGUCUGCCGCAGAACAGAAAGCAAGGUGAGGGGGCAGGAAAGCUUCCAAUAAUCACCGGCAGCUUCAUUGUAGUACACGUUGAUUCUCUCCAGCUGCAGGUCACUGUCUCCAUGGUAACUGCCCGUGGGGUCGAUCCCAUGCUCAUCGCUGAUGACCUCCCAAAACUGGAAAUAAAGAAAACCGCUUGACGGCCUGGCAUCCGAAGUAUCAGUAAAAAUGGCUCCCUUCUCCCUCUCCUGUCCUUGGAACGGCGGCGUUGUGGUCAGACAGUCGAGGAGACCCAGACAGACCAAUAGCUGCCUGCCCUGAUCCUCCAGCAGCUGCUGCUGAGGGGCUCAGGAAUCCGCCGCGCAUCAGCCAUAUGAUGGCGACAGGCUGAAAAGCUGGGAGGAGCCCUGAAGGAGGAGAGUGGCCACAGCCGCGGGGGCUGUCACCCCCGGCAGGGCUGAGGGUCAGCACCCCAGCUGAUGGACGGGUCACCCGUGGGGGCAGUGGCCAGAGCUGGGACCCUACUGUCGAGUAAGGCACAUUCAGACUUAGAGAUGGAGCGACUUUAAUGGAAAAGAGUGUUACCGUAGGGAGAGUGCUCCGAUCUCAGAAGCGUGCAACAAGCAUGCAGGAUGGAAGAGGACAGGCUUUUCUCUGCAGGGAGGGGUGAACAGGGCUAGCGUGAACUUUGUGGGCGGGGAGGAAGAGAGGGUGGGACAAGCAGAUGUGAAAUCAGCUCGCUGCAGCCGGAAGAGGGUUCUGUCGUCAGCAGACCCUCAGCCUGUUACAGGUGCAGCGUUCGCCUGUUACAGGUGCAGCGUUCGCCUGUUACAGGUGCAGCGUUCGCCUGUUACAGGUGCAGCGUUCGCCUGUUACAGGUGCAGCGUUCGCCUGUGUGCUUGCUUCAGCCUGGGGGCCGUGGAGGCGGGACGGACUGCAGUUUGGUAAGAGGUGGGCAGUUGUGAACACCUGGUCGUUGCCCCGUUGUUUUAUACAGACAAAAUCUGUGGUUAAACGCUACUAGGGAUGAAUAAGUGUGAGGUUGACGUGAGUUCGGUUAGCUGUCAGGGCUGGGUGGGCUUCCAGGUUCCUGGUGGCCCUGGAGGACCAGCUGUUACCAUCUGCUGAGCACGUUCCUGGCCUGGCAGGUGUUAGAGGCUCUUAGAGACCAGGGGUUUCACGAGAGGUAUGCUUAGGAAUAUUAUUUUUAAAAAAUACUACAGGUUAAAUGAGGGAGUAAAAACACAAUCUGAAGUUGGAAGGCAGUUGGUUGAGAAGGCUGUGAGACGUUGGGCCUGGAGUGUAUUUAAAUGGCAGCGUGAGAGCGACAGUGGCAAUCUGAUGGAUUUCUCCGUUUGCGGUAAAUAUUUCGGGCGGCGGCAUAGACAUUUAUGGGAUAGCAUGCACAGCCGUUACUCCUGACCUCUGCCCCAGGGCCCCUUUGGGCAGCCCAGAGCAUGCCCAAUGGCAGACGACUGUUGAGGACCGUUCACUGAGUUCCUGGAGUUCUCUCGUGUUGCUGUGUGUCCUCGGUAAGACUGUGCACGGUGCUGGUCACUUCCUGAAGCAGAGGAGGAAAGCGUAGAGGUUCUGGCAAACUGGCUGCGUGGCCCACCGGCCGCAGCUCCAGACACACAUGUCCGCACGUGAUCUGCACGGUCAAGCCUUUUGAGAGCCCUCCCAGUCCCUUAGCCUCUUGUUCUAAGGCUUCUUGAGAACCUGGCAAGGAAGGAGGGUCAGAGCCUCUUUCUGCAGCCAGGAUUCUGCAGGUGGACUUGUGGCUGUAGCACGCUUCUGUCCCAUGAAGAUAGCCACAGGUAGCUUUUGGAUCAUCUAGUGCCUGAAAGCUGAAAUCAGAGGUAAUAGUGCAGUUAUGGUGAUGGAAGAAAGCAGUCUGGUUAAAAAUUUGAUAAGGGCCAGUAAGAUUCGCUAGUAACAGGAUCUGAUCCAACCGCAGGCAUGAUCUUCCCAGUUUGGGCCCUGCCCUGCCCCAUGGGAGACAUUUAUAGAGCCAAGAGGUCAUAUCCACCAGACCCUGCACCAUGUGCCACAUCCUAGGAUGUCUGAACUUCCUGCCUAGUCUGCUCCAAGCCCACUUCUAGCGCAGAGAUGAGCCUCUCUCCCAGCCCAGGGUCUUCCUGAGGGCAGGUUAUUGAAACUUAGUACAGAAAAGGUGCCUGCCGUGUGCACCCCUAGGACCAAGGGGAGGCCGUGUGGGGAGAGGGAGUGGUGGGGUUUGGCGUGUGGGCUGGGAUGUCCACGAACACGCCCCUGAAGCCCAAGAGAAACUCUGAACACGGAGCUCCAGGCGAGCGCCCCAGGCUGGCAAUACUCCGUGCACAGUGUCACACGUGGAUGCAGGGCAGUGACGUGUCCUGACUCCAUGGAAGGACAACAGAAGCCCUGUGUCUGGUUCAUCUCUGGACUCAGCCCUUUGCGUUCUUCCCUUGGCUGAUCUUAGCCUGUAUCCUUUCCCUGUGAAAACAAAACAGAACUGUCACUGCGAGGGUAACAGCUUUCGGUAAAGUUCUGAGUCCUCCUAGUGAAUUACCAAACCUGAGGGUGCUCUUGGGGACCUUUGACCUUGCAGUUGGUAUCUGAAGCAAGAAUAGUCUUGGAGACCGUUCCCUCCAACCUCACAGUUGGCCCAGAUGCUUCACAGUUGGUGUCAGAAGUGACAUUUGCUCGUGUGACCCUGACUCACGGAAACAUAUGGUUCAAGAAGAGGGGGGGAUGAUGGGGUGGGGGGUGAUGAACCUGUGGUUCCUAGGGGACCCCAGGUCAGCCAAGGUGUAGAACUGGAGCUGUGCCGCACUUAGUUAUCAGAGGUAAAAGUCUCACCAUGGCUCCAGCCCCUGAGUAGUUAGCUCACUGGACGCGUGAGAAAAUGUGGAGUAACAAAGGACAAGCGAAUGAGUGUCCGUCCUGCGUGGUGUUCUCUGCAAUAAGCCAAGUGAAAGUGGGGUGUCAGGAUGCAUCUUGAGGCUGCGCCACGCUUGGAUUCGGGCUGCUCCGAGCUAACUCAGGGCUGCCACCAAACGGGAUAGUUAAGCCAAAGACACAGAUGGCUGAGAUCUGCGAGAUAAUGGGGAAGAGACAAAGGGGAAAGUCGGAGCCGGUCCCAGUGGGGUUCAAAUCUGUGAGCGGUUCCUAUUGGAGAAGUUAAGCAGACGUUGAUGGGAUCAGAAUAAAGGUCUUGCUGCAGCACUCUCCGAAGUCAGAUGGACCCAUGGGAGCCUCUGCUGGUUCCUCCACAUGGAAGGGCCCUAAAUCUGCUUCGUUCGCCUUGGUUUGGAGGAAUUUUAAAAGCUGGAAGGCACAGAUGACAAUGAGACAGCUGACCAAGAAUUUCAUGAGGUGACGGCCCCAUAGUCUAAUCAGGGCACAGACUGGCUAAGAGCCCAGGUCUCUUGGGCAAUCCCCCUCCCCUGCCCCGAGCUGGGAGCCCAGGAUGUGUGCCCGUGAGGGGGCAGAAGGCUUGGGGGGGGGGCGGGGGGAGGAGGUGCUUUGGGAGAUCCUUGACACGGGGGCCGUGCACUCUGCUACCAGAGCUACAGUUAGAUUCGGAGGAUACGGGGAGGAAAGAGUCGUUGGGACUGAGGUGAAAGUUUGGAUGAAAACUGAAAUGUUCCGGCAGACUCUGUGAAGUGGUUGUGUGUCCUUUACCUGAAUGCUUCAUGGGGACGGAUGUUGUGUCUGACUGGAGAAUGCCUCCCCUUCUAGUAUUAUAAACCAGGAGGCAGGUGAAGCCACCCCCGGCUUUAUUACUGUUGAUUCGACAGCCGAGGGGUCGUCACCGAGAUGGCCUGAGCCCCCAGCUUGCUCACGCGACCGGGCGAAGUACGGAGAGAUUAUCUGUACGGUGACCCGCGUCGGGUGCAGACCGGGGCUUACGGCAGAAGCCUGUGGAUCCCGCCUGGCAGUGACCGCUGGGAUUCCCGCUGGAGAAUUCCGGAAAUUUUCCAUUGCAAAGAUCAUUCCUAGCCUGCUUUGAACAUUAUUUGAAACCGCCCCGAUGGCUGAAGGACCUAAGAUAACCUCGAACCUGAAAGACCCGUAGGGUCUUGGGUGACGUCAGAGAAAUGCUCUCUAGAGAGGGGCGUGCGAAGGGCGUCCCGUAGUGGAUGGAGAUGGUUCGCACAGGAAAGGGCGCUGACGGAACACGAGGAGGAGAGGGCACCUCCCCCAGGACUAACUCUGGAGCCGCCUGGUUCGCCCUGUCAACAACUCUCCUGACCAGCAAAGGGCUGCUUGGCUUGUGGCUGGCAGUUCUGAAGCGAGCGCACAGCAUCCCGUCCGGAGAGCUGCCGCUGUAGCUGAAGGAGGAAGGAAGCCGUCAGCUCGGUGGCCUGGAAGGCGAGCUACUUGUCUCUAUGUUUGGGCUUUUAAUGACUCAGGGGUUGUGGCCAGUGGCCUGGCCCUAGGGUCAGGCAGACGGGCAGCGGAGCCUGGCCUGUCAAAGGGCCGCCCGCGUGGGGCACAGCCCUGUAGGAGUCACUCUGGGAGUUUGAGGGGUGCAUCAGUGUAGGGCGUGCUCGCUGCCCACGAGAAGCUCCCCCUUCGGGGAUCGGGAGAGGUUGGGACGGGCAGGUGGCCAUCCUUGAGGUGGCCUCGUGGGUCCACGAACUCGGUGGACGUGUGGGUACCACGGCAAUGCAGAGAUGGGCUGAAUCUAGAUACACUCCUCCUGAGGCACAAAAUGGCAGCCGUACAGUCUGUGCAGGAAGGACGGAGGCUGCUCCGGGGGAGGGUGAUGCCCACGCCGGCAGGUGGCGCUGUGCUGCUUCCCCCGCCCCCGCCGCCGUGGCAGUAGACACUCUGAGUUAGGUUUUGCGUGCCUGGUGGAAGAGGCAGUUGUACGAAAUACUGUAAAAGGACUGGAACAGAAGGUAUUGUACCAAUUUGGACCACGGAGUCGCAUUUCUUCCCAUCGAGGACCCCACUCUCAUCCUGAGAAAUAGUCGGGUGGAUCACUGGAACGGGCAAUGAUUCCUGCAAGGAGGGCCGGCUUACACACCUCUGUGGAUGUGUGCUCACACUCAACAGGAAGGGGGCCGUGGAUGGUCCACCGGGGAGGUUCCUCCACUUUUCUGUGGUAUCUGGGGUACAAGUGGGAGGGAUGCUGAUAUGACUGUACAGCCGUUUCCCACAUCACCUCAACUUCCGUUUUCUGGAUGCAGUGGUCCUGGGACCAGGGCAGCAACCACUGGCCAGUAGUAGGGUUGAUGCCUAAGCACGAGACUCUCACUGUGCCCUCCCAUCUUUAUGUCAGAAUCCCUAAGGGCCAGAGGGAGUGGGUUGUGCCUUGAUCUUAUCUGGCAAAAACCCUCCCCUACAGAAAGGACGGGGGCACUGAAGGGGGGGCUUGCCAGACUACCAUUGCUGCUGCCAACCCAGCACGGAGGCUGAGCCUAGCAUCCUUUCGAACAGAGGUGGACAAGUCUGUUAAAAAUCAGAUGAUAAAUGUGGAACGGGAGCUGAGGAUAAAGGAGUGAGUAAGUAAAUGGUUUGUGCAGUGAAGGAAAUCCAACGUUAUGUUGGUGCCUUGAGAGAGACUCGGAACACGAGAUGGUGGGGGCGCUUAGCCCGGGUACACCGGCUGCCUGAGAGGGUGGGGCUGUCUGUUGCCGACACCACGCUUGCUUUUGGAACCGGAAUGGUCGAGUGGAAGCCUACAGAACUGGGUGGCAUCACUCACGGAGCGUCGUAGGUUGUGAUGAUGCCCUGGUCCCAUUGUCGAUGACUCAGUGGGACUCUGAUGAAGUGUAACCUUUUGACUUUCGUUUGUCAGGCUGCCACACUGUGAUACGGGGGCGACGCUGGCCUUGUUGGUGGGACUCAACCACCCUAUGUAAACACGUCUGACAAUAAUACUGAUGUUGAUGAUCAAAUAUAGUGAGAAAUGGAGUUAGAGCCUAUUCAGGACGUAAUAAAAUGACUAGCUUGGGGAAGAA